CUCCGGGGGGCAGCCGUGGGGAAUAUUGCACCAUGGGCGCAAGCCUGCUGCCGCCAUGCCGCGUGUGUGAAGAAGGCCUUCGGGUUGUAAAGCACUUUCAGCGGGGAGGAAGGCGGUGAGGUUAAUAACCUCAUCGAUUGACGUUACCCGCAGAAGAAGCACCGGCUAACUCCGUGCCAGCAGCCGCGGUAAUACGGAGGGUGCAAGCGUUAAUCGGAAUUACUGGGCGUAAAGCGCACGCAGGCGGUCUGUCAAGUCGGAUGUGAAAUCCCCGGGCUCAACCUGGGAACUGCAUUCGAAACUGGCAGGCUAGAGUCUUGUAGAGGGGGGUAGAAUUCCAGGUGUAGCGGUGAAAUGCGUAGAGAUCUGGAGGAAUACCGGUGGCGAGGGCGGCCCCCUGGACAAAGACUGACGCUCAGGUGCGAAAGCGUGGGGAGCAAACAGGAUUAGAUACCCCAGUAGUC
rnacentral:rRNA from 1 species